GUUCCUGGCUCAGGAUGAACGCUGGCGGCGUGCUUAACACAUGCAAGUCGAACGAAGCACUUUAUUUGAUUUCCUUCGGGACUGAUUAUUUUGUGACUGAGUGGCGGACGGGUGAGUAACGCGUGGGUAACCUGCCUUGUACAGGGGGAUAACAGUUGGAAACGGCUGCUAAUACCGCAUAAGCGCACAGCAUCGCAUGAUGCAGUGUGAAAAACUCCGGUGGUAUAAGAUGGACCCGCGUUGG
rnacentral:rRNA from 1 species